UACGGAGGGGGCUAGCGUUGUUCGGAAUUACUGGGCGUAAAGCGCACGUAGGCGGACCGGACAGUCAGAGGUGAAAUCCCAGGGCUCAACCUUGGAACUGCCUUUGAAACUAUCGGUCUGGAGUUCGAGAGAGGUGAGUGGAAUUCCGAGUGUAGAGGUGAAAUUCGAUAGAUAUUCGGAAGAACACCAGUGGCGAAGGCGACUUACUGGACACAUAUUGACGCUGAGGUGCGAAAGCGUGGGGAGCAAACAGGG
rnacentral:rRNA from 1 species